rnacentral:lncRNA from 1 species
CGUUCAUGACUUAUGGUUUCUUUGUGAUUAGUAGGUGUUGGGGAAAACCUGUUUAAGAGAGAGUGAAAAUUUGACAUUUGAUUGACCUAUAAUUCUUACUUGAAAGGAGCCCCAUUAUAUAGGCCCUUCCAAGAAUCCAGAGGCUGUUAAUGCUGUAUGGGACUAUGGUCUUUACUAUGUUUUUACCUUUGGUUUUCAUAAUAAAAUGCAGUUCAUCCAGGAAGUAGCCCACAGCCUGACAAUACUUGUUAACUAACUGCAUUCUAGUAGUCCCUUGGUCAUUUUGUUAUUACAGCAACAGCAAUCUGAAUCUUGACCCUGUGGCCCCG